UACGGAGGGUGCAAGCGUUAAUCGGAAUUACUGGGCGUAAAGCGCACGCAGGCGGUUCGUUAAGUCAGAUGUGAAAUCCCCGGGCUCAACCUGGGAACUGCAUCUGAUACUGGCAAGCAUGAGUCUCGUAGAGGGGGGGUAGAAUUCCAGGUGUAGCGGUGAAAUGUGUAGAGAUCUGGAGGAAUACCGGUGGCGAAGGCGGCCCCCUGGACGAAGUCUGACGCUCAGGUGCGAAAGCGUGGGGAGCAAACAGGAUUAGAUACCCUGGUAGUCCACGCCGUAAACGAUGUCGACUUGGAGGUUGUGCCCUUGAGGCGUGGCUUCCGGAGCUAACGCGUUAAGUCGACCGCCUGGGGAGUACGGCCGCAAGGUUAAAACUCA
rnacentral:rRNA from 1 species